rnacentral:rRNA from 1 species
AACUCGCCUUAAGAUGAGAUAUCCCUGGGGACUAGAUCCCCUUGAAGGGUCGUUCGAGACCAGGACGUUGAUAGGUCGGGUGUGUAAGCGCAGUAAUGCGUUCAGCUAACCGAUACUAAUUGCCCGUAAGGCUUGAUCCUAUAACA